rnacentral:rRNA from 1 species
AUUAGCUUAAUUAACAUUAAUAUAAUAAUUUAAAAUUUUAAUUAAUUGUAGGUUUAGAAAUGACCAUCUUUUAUUUUAUUAUAAUUAAUUUUAUUUAAUUAUUUUAUUUUAUAUUAUUUAUUUAUGUAUAAGAUAAUAAAAUUUAAUAUAUUUUUUUUUGAUAUAAUGAUAAAAUUAGUAGAUAUUAAAUUUUAGCUUAGGAACUCGGCAAUUAUUAUUUUCGCCUGUUUAACAAAAACAUGUCUUAUAUGAUCAAUUAAUUUUAAGUCUGACCUGCUCAAUGAAUUUAUUUAAAUUGCUAUAGUAUUUUAACUAUACAAAGGUAGCAUAAUAAUUUGUCUUUUAAUUGAAGGCUAGUAUGAAUGGUUGGACGAAAAAUAAACUUUCUUAGUUAAAAUUAUAUUGAAUUUGAUUUUUAUGUAAAAAAGCUUAAAUUUUAUUGUGGGACGAGAAGACCCUAUAGAAAUUUAAUUAAUAUUUAAAUCCUUUACUAUAGUUUAUUUUAUAAUAUAUUAAUAUAUUAAUUUAUGUUGGGGUGACAGUAGAAAAUUGAUAACUUCUAUUUAUUAAAUUUUCAUAAAUUAGUGUAUUAUUGAUCCUUUUUUAUGGAUUAAAAGAUUAAUUUACCUUAGGGAUAACAGCGUUAUUACUCUGGAGAGUUCUUAUUGAUGGAGUAGUUUGCGACCUCGAUGUUGGAUUAAAGUUAGAUUUAUAGUGCAGGAGCUUAUUAUCUAGGUCUGUUCGACCUUUAAACCUUUACAUGAUCUGAGUUCAGACCGGCGUGAGCCAGGUUGGUUUCUAUCUACAAUUAUAUUUAUAGUAUUAUAGUACGAAAGGACCUAUUACUAUUAAAAUUUAAUUAAUUAUUGAUUAUUAUUAAAAAAAAAAA